rnacentral:rRNA from 1 species
AGUGAACGCUGGCGGUAGGCCUAACACAUGCAAGUCGAACGGCAGCACAGUAAGAGCUUGCUCUUACGGGUGGCGAGUGGCGGACGGGUGAGGAAUACAUCGGAAUCUACUUUUUCGUGGGGGAUAACGUAGGGAAACUUACGCUAAUACCGCAUACGACCUACGGGUGAAAGCAGGGGAUCUUCUGACCUUGCGCGAUUGAAUGAGCCGAUGUCGGAUUAGCUAGUUGGCGGGGUAAAGGCCCACCAAGGCGACGAUCCGUAGCUGGUCUGAGAGGAUGAUCAGCCACACUGUCACUGAGACACGGUCCAGACUCCUACGCGAGGCAACAGUGGGGAAUAUUGGACGAGGCGGGCGAGCCUGAUCCAGCCAUACCGCGUGGGUGAAGAAGGACUUCGGGUUGUAAAGCCCUUUUGUUGGGAAAGAAAAGCAGCAGGUUAAUACCCCACUGUUCUGACGGUACCCAAAGAAUAAGCACCGGCUAACUUCGUG